rnacentral:rRNA from 1 species
UCUUCCGCAAUGGACGAAAGUCUGACGGAGCAACGCCGCGUGAGUGAUGAAGGUUUUCGGAUCGUAACACUCUGUUGUUAGGGAAGAACAAGUACCGUUCGAAUAGGGCGGUACCUUGACGGUACCUAACCAGAAAGCCACGGCUACCUACGUGCCAGCAGCCGCGGUAAUACGUACGUGGCAAGCGUUGUCCGGAAAUAUUGGGCGUAAAGCGCGCGCAGGCGGUUUCUUAAGGCUGAUGUGAAAGCCCCCGGCUCAACCGGGGAGGGUUAUUGGAAACUGGGGAACUUGAGUGCAGAAGAGGAGAGUGGAAUUCCACGUGUAGCGGUGAAAUGCGUAGAGAUGUGGAGGAACACAAGUGGCGAAGGCGACUCUCUGGUCUGUAACUGACGCUGAGGCGCGAAAGCGUGGGGAGCGAUCAG